AUUCCAGCUCCAAUAGCGUAUAUUAAAGUUGUUGCAGUUAAAAAGCUCGUAGUUGGAUUUCUGGUGGAAGUGACCGGUCUGUCCCUAGUGGAUGUGAACUUGUGUCUACUUUUGCCAUCCUUGGGGAGAGCGUGCCUGGCAUUAGGUUGUCGGGUUCGGGAUCCCCAUCCUUUACUGUGAAAAAAUUAGAGUGUUUAAAGCAGGCUUAUGCCAUUGAAUACAUUAGCAUGGAAUAAUAAGAUAGGACUUUGGCGGUCUAUUUUGUUGGUUUGCACGCCGAAGUAAUGAUUAACAGGGACGGUUGGGGUUCUUUGUAUUCAAUUGUCAGAGGUGAAAUUCUUGGAUUUAUGGAAGACAAACUGCUGCGAAAGCGUCGAACAAGGACGUUCUCAUUA
rnacentral:rRNA from 1 species